rnacentral:rRNA from 1 species
UACGGAGGGUGCAAGCGUUAUCCGGAUUUACUGGGUUUAAAGGGUGCGUAGGUGGGCAGGUAAGUCAGUGGUGAAAUCUCCGGGCUUAACCCGGAAACUGCCAUUGAUACUAUUUGUCUUGAAUACCGUGGAGGUCAGCGGAAUAUGUCAUGUAGCGGUGAAAUGCUUAGAUAUGACAUAGAACACCAAUUGCGAAGGCAGCUGGCUACACGAAUAUUGACACUGAUGCACGAAAGCGUGGGGAUCAAACAGG